UCCAGACUCCUACGGGAGGCAGCAGUGGGGGAUAUUGCACAAUGGGGGGAACCCUGAUGCAGCGACGCCGCGUGGGUGAAGGAGCGUUUCGGCGCGUAAAGCCCUAUCGGCAGGGAAGAAGGAGGACGGUACCUGACUAAGAAGCCCCGGCUAACUACGUGCCAGCAGCCGCGGUAAUACGUAGGGGGCAAGCGUUAUCCGGAUUUACUGGGUGUAAAGGGGGCGCAGACGGCAGCGCAAGCCAGGAGUGAAAGCCCGGGGCCCAACCCCGGGACUGCUCUUGGAACUGCGCGGCUGGAGUGCAGGAGGGGCAGGCGGAAUUCCUGGUGUAGCGGUGAAAUGCGUAGAUAUCAGGAGGAACAUCGGUGGCGAAGGCGGCCUGCUGGACUGCGACUGACGUUGAGGCCCGAAAGCGUGGGGAGCAAACAGGAUUAGAUACCCCGGUAA
rnacentral:rRNA from 1 species